rnacentral:rRNA from 1 species
GAUCCUGGCUUAGGAUGAACGCUAGCGACAGGCUUAACACAUGCAAGUCGAGGGGCAGCAUAAAAGUAGCAAUACUUUGGUGGCGACCGGCGCACGGGUGAGUAACGCGUAUGCAACCUACCUAUCAGAGGGGAAUAACCCGGCGAAAGUCGGACUAAUACCGCAUAAAACAGGGACACCGCAUGGUGAUAUUUGUUAAAGAAAUUCGCUGAUAGAUGGGCAUGCGUUCCAUUAGGUAGUUGGUGAGGUAACGGCUCACCAAGCCGACGAUGGAUAGGGGAACUGAGAGGUUGGUCCCCCACACUGGUACUGAGACACGGACCAGACUCCUACGGGAGGCAGCAGUGAGGAAUAUUGGUCAAUGGGCGAGAGCCUGAACCAGCCAAGUCGCGUGAAGGAAGAAGGAUCUAUGGUUCGUAAACUUCUUUUGCAGGGGAAUAAAGUGCAGGACGUGUCCUGUUUUGUAUGUACCCUGAGAAUAAGGAUCGGCUAACUCCGUGCCAGCCGCCGC